GGGGAAGAACAGUUCAGCUCUCUGUCUGCUUUGAUUGUGCCUCCUUUCCAGACUAACUACACUGAGCCACGCCAGGACACGAACUUCUACCAUACCUAGAUUCCCGCAGAAGAACGGAUCAAUCCCACGGGACAAAUGUCAGCUUUCAACAUACGAAAACAGUCUCCAAAUCCAAGCGAUAAGAAGAGUCCCUCUGUUGCAAUUAAAAGCAGACAACAGGCUACUCAUGAUAUUAAUAAACGACGGACCCUUUUGCAAGAUAACAGCUGGAUAAAGAAGAGACCUGAAGAGGAAAGUGCUGAUGAAAACUACGGAAGGGCGGUGCUUAACCAAUACAAAUCCCA